rnacentral:rRNA from 1 species
GAUGAACGCUGGCGGCGUGCCUAAUACAUGCAAGUCGAGCGAACGGACGAGAAGCUUGCUUCUCUGAUGUUAGCGGCGGACGGGUGAGUAACACGUGGAUAACCUACCUAUAAGACUGGGAUAACUUCGGGAAACCGGAGCUAAUACCGGAUAAUAUUUUGAACCGCAUGGUUCAAAAGUGAAAGACGGUCUUGCUGUCACUUAUAGAUGGAUCCGCGCUGCAUUAGCUAGUUGGUAAGGUAACGGCUUACCAAGGCAACGAUGCAUAGCCGACCUGAGAGGGUGAUCGGCCACACUGGAACUGAGACACGGUCCAGACUCCUACGGGAGGCAGCAGUAGGGAAUCUUCCGCAAUGGGCGAAAGCCUGACCGAGCAACGCCGCGUGAGUGAUGAAGGUCUUCGGAUCGUAAAACUCUGUUAUUAGGGAAGAACAUAUGUGUAAGUAACUGUGGACAUCUUGACGGUACCUAAUCAGAAAGCCACGGCUAACUACGUG